UACGUAGGGUGCAAGCGUUGUCCGGAAUUAUUUGGGCGUAAAGAGCUCGUAGGCGGUCUGUCGCGUCGGAUGUGAAAAUCCAGGGCUCAACCCUGGACCUGCAUUCGAUACGGGCAGACUAGAGUUCGGUAGGGGAGACUGGAAUUCCUGGUGUAGCGGUGAAAUGCGCAGAUAUCAGGAGGAACACCGGUGGCGAAGGCGGGUCUCUGGGCCGAAACUGACGCUGAGGAGCGAAAGCGUGGGGAGCAAACAGG
rnacentral:rRNA from 1 species